GGCAAAGCUUCACAACUACUGGCCAAGGCCUGGCUCCCCGGAAACAAGCCUGCAUCAGAGCAGACGACUGGCCGCUUUCCCAGAAUGCACCACGGCCGCAGCUUGAUUCUGGAUAGCGCAAACAGAGCUCACAGUGUCCCCGUCACUAAGCCUUACCUUUAGCUGAGCGAUGUGUCUCCGGUGGAAGGGUCCACAAUGUGGGUGCGAUGCAACCUGGAAAACGGGAAGGGGCCAAUACAUUGGUCCGGACAUUCUCCGGAUAAACGUCACCCCAUACACUGUGACAGAGCGGGGGUACUCAGCUCUGGAGAGAAAGACGGUCUCAUUGAUGUGUCAAGCCUAGUCCAAUUCAGUCAGUCAGUACGUUUGGUUCUACAACAACUUCUAGGUGUACAGCGGGCCGCAGUUCACCAUCACCAAGAUCCUUUGCAUGCACACGGGAGACUACGCCUGAUUGGCCCAAAAUACAUACCUGAACACCCAGUCCAAAAAAACAUCAGUUUUACUGUCUACUGUGUUAGGGAUUAUGAGAUUUACAGAGACUGGACUGCAAAAUCGGUGUUAUGGAAAGAUAUAAUCAGUUGUUGUAUUAAUCAGGCAUUUUUAUAAAAGCAAUAAGAGUACCUAUGUUUUAAUUACCAACAUGUGGCUUGGAGUUUACAGAAGGUGGGGGUUUUGCAGACUCACUCAAAAAGCAAUCAAUUCAUUCAAGCUCUUGUAGAGACCAGGCACGAAGAGACAUCGGAGUUUUAUGGGGGACCUUUCAAAAUGGCUUCAAAACAGGUUGGAAAGCCUUUUUAUGGUUCUUAAUGUUUAUCUUGGUUAACUCCUAAAAAUCCACCUGGGCUAUUAAUUAAAAGUUAGUCCCUGAAGUUGACGUGGGAGAACGCACUUGCUUUGCCUGUGAGUGGAUAAGCCCCUGGAGACCCCUCCCUGAACACUCCGGGACAGGCUGCUCAUGUCAUGAUUUGGGUUUUGUUAUGGCUUAUGUUUGUUAUUUGAUUAAUUAGUUCUCUCUCCUGUCUUAGUAUU